rnacentral:lncRNA from 1 species
UCUACUUGUCGUAGAAUUUUGUUGGAAUCCUGAAGAGUUUCUGUCUUCUUUACUAUUAUGUCUUCUUUUACUUAACAGGAUGCAGGUUGAGGACCACAGAUUUGAAUUGGAAGCACCUGAUUAUAGCCACUUCUUACGCAUUCUGUUUAAGGGUAUCCCCAAGACACACCUCUGUAUGCAGCACCAAAUCAAUGUCAGAUUUUAUAUUGAAUAAUUUCCUUCAUGAUUUUGGAUUCUGAUUUGCUAUCCUCACAGAGUUGGUAGGGUGUGACCGUUGGCACCACCUGUGCCUGCAGUGUUUCAAGCCAUCAUGAUGAGCCCCAGGAACUCCAGAUGUAUAGAAUUUAACAUAAACUAUCCUAAGUAUAUGGAGCUUUCUAUUUUCCUCUACUGGACCUUGAAUAUGCUGAUAAAUAUGGUUUUACCCUAUGCGUGUGAUUGCCAAACAGCAGCAGAAACAUUACAAACAAAACAAGAUAGGAUAGUUUUCUUCUGUAUUCAGGACAAAAAUCAAAGAAUCAGCAUAUAUAGCAUUGGUAUUAUUCUCUUAUGUUUCUUGCUGUGGCUGUUAACCUGUGCCUGCGUCUUCAUAAAUUUUAUCUGGUACAGACACAAGUGGAAGCUCACACACAUUCUUAGCACCAAUAUCCCCACCCUGAACUUCUUUUAACUCUUU